GGCCCGGUCCGCAUUCAGUUUGGAACUGCCUUAAGGAAGAGUGGGAAAGCAGGUUAAUUACAAGGUGUAUUCCGUGCUCUCCCAAACCUCCGAGGGUUUCGUUUCAUGUAGGUGUAUCCCAACUAAUUGAAACCCAUUAGCUGCAAAAGGUGAGAGAUCCAGCACAUCUGACAGGCAGCAGCAAUGGAUACGUGACUUUAGCUGUGCCGUACGGGUGCCGUACUUCAAAAGCUUGUAUUUUCAUUCGAAUAUCCGCUUCUUUAACCUUACAGGUCCAUUCAAACCAUAAACAAAGCACGGGAAAAAGUCAAUAGCGUGAGAAAGCAUUCUAAAACGGUUUUAUUGGAAUGAUACAGGAAUGGUUAGUAAUACAGGUAGAGUCCUCAUUGCCUGCCAUCUACAUGGUGAAACAGAAAAUGAGAAACAAACAAAUUCAGUUCUUGUGCCCAUCGUUAGCUCAGGUCUGUGGACGAGAAAAAAAGCAGAGAGGCAACACGUUCCCAGCACUCCCAAAUUCAAACAAGAUGUCUGCAUCAAAACUGUCACACGCAGUCCCACAACAAAGAUAUUUCAGCGUGCUUGCAUUUUUAAGCACAAGCUUCAAGCCAGCUUGCUGGCUGCCGCAACAGAAAAGAUGAAACGUGAAUUAAAUGUACCUAACUCAGCUCUGUGCUCGAUCCUGCUCUGACAUCUGUGAAAGUUUCAACGUGAACCCUCCAGAAGCAGAGCUGCUCUCCAACCACAGCAAGGAGCUGCAUUUCUGCUUUAACAGAUGUUGACAAAAUCAGCGGUUUCAGCGAAUGAACAGAAGCCCCAAAGAAACGUCAGUGAGGGAAGUAUUUAAUUACUGCACUUUAAACCGUCUUUGUAAGCCUGAGUUUUUACUUCUAUCCUUGUUCCUAAUUGGAGAGUUUAAAACUAUGAACUGUAAACGGUUUUGUAAAGUCUCUGAAAAGCACUGCAUACAUUUCACAGCGUAAGUGGGAAAUAACCGCACUGCGAUGAUACUCUGCAGCCUUUUGCUGAACCGCACCACCUGUUUCUUCAUAAAGCAAAGAAAAUCAAAAUAUGUGUAUGCAGAGCAAUUAGAAUGAUCCUCUAACUACAGCAAGGACUAAUUACCUUUCUGUAUUUUGAUGCUUUGAGGGGAUAAGUACAUUAUGUGGUGCAUAAUGCAUUUUAAAUUACUCACACAUUUUUUAAACCUGUUUCUUAUCCUUCAGGGCACUUGUAAUUACCUGCAUUUUUGCAGAACAUGGCCAGGAAAUUCAGGCUAUCUCAUGAGCACUGGGAGAACAGACAGGUUAAUAUUGCACGUGGUAAAUUCACCAAUACAAGACACCUUAAUGGGUUCACAAUUCCUGUAAUAGCUUGAUGAUAUGGCAACAGCAAUGGAAAUAAGCUUUUAAACCUUAAAAAAAUCUUGGAUAAUUACAAUAGUUCUUGCUAUUCAAACAUUUAACUUUACUCAUUUGAAAAAAUACUAUAUGAAUCUAAUGACUACUCGAACAUGCAUUAAGAUGCCUAAUACUAUAAGCAGUGUGAACUGGUAUUUUUGUAGAGAAAUAUAUUAAAGGCGUUCACCCUUACACAGGUAAGGAAAUGCCACUUCUGGCCAUUUUGGCUUAAUUGCAACAUUGCCUGGGAAUCAGCAUCUAUUUCUUGAGGUGCACUGAAUCUUGCACAUAAACGUGUAACCAAGUCAUGCUUAGGCAGCUGUGUGAUGAACUUGCCAACGAAAAGGCUGUCCAGUGCCCACAUCUCUCUUUGUUUGUCAAAAGAGCCCACACAAAUCACUUAAAUGAGAAAUACAUGACAUUUUUUUUUCAUCAUCUGUACAGUGUGUUACAAUACAAAUCUUAAAUAUCCAUCCUACAAAAGAACAAACAUAACUUUCAACAGUGACUACACUGGUUAUAAUACACACCACCACCUACAAUUUCAUCUGAAACCAGAAUUUAAAGACACUGAAAAAUGGUGUAUUUCUGUAACAUUUUUUGAGGCAACUCAGGCACUAAAGCUAGUAUCUGACAAGGUUUUAGAUACUGCUGCUUUUUUUUCCUAGACUUUAAAUAGUUGGAUUCCUAGGUAUAACCACAUCUGUAUUAAAAUAGCUUCUUGAAGUUUACACAAAAUGGACAAAUUGCCAAGACAAUUUAAACUAUGUGAAAACCAUUCAUGUCCAAUUGCUUCAGUUUCCUAUGCUUGUAACUUUGUAAUAGUACACCCCAUGCUUUCUACCUUUAUGUUCACAUUUUCAUCUUGUGUUCAAAUUUGUGUUAUAUAUGGUGAAUGCUGCAAGCACCAAUCACAUGUUAGAAAUCACAUCUAUAUUUCUUGAAGCAGAGACAGUUUUACUAUUUUAUAAAAAGCCGUGGAAAUUCCCUUUACAGAACAUUAAGGCAGUUGAAAUUCAUGCUUGUUGCUUUGCCAGUGCUUCAGCUUCCUGAAAC
rnacentral:lncRNA from 1 species